ACUUCACUGAUCACCACCAUCCACCUUUAGAACAGUCUCAUCACCUUGAAGGGAAUCCUUCAUCCUCAUCACCCCAAAGGGAAAGCUUGUAUCCACUGAGAAGUCUUACAAUUCUUACCAGGAUGUUCUGGAUGGUGUGCAUGGUCAUGCCUUGUCUGUGUUUGGGUCACACUGUUGGAGGUGAUUAGCUGGUCAUCCCCAGCAGACACAAAGAGGUCUCACGAAUUCC
rnacentral:sRNA from 1 species